GAAAGUACUUGGUUCAGCAGCUCCUUCAUAUAUUAAAAUUAAACAAUACAAAGAAGGUUAGCAUGGCCACUGUGCAAGGAUAGCACACACAUUUAGGACGCAUUCUAUUUUUUU
ensembl:snRNA Gm25886 predicted gene, 25886